GGGAAGGUAGCUCAGUGGUAGAGUGCUUGCCUUGCAUGCAUGAGGCCCUUGGUUCGAUUCCCCAGCACCA
rfam:Dipodomys ordii contig_81230, whole genome shotgun sequence.